AACGAACGCUGGCGGCAUGCCUAACACAUGCAAGUCGAACGAGACCUUCGGGUCUAGUGGCGCACGGGUGCGUAACGCGUGGGAAUCUGCCCUUGGGUUCGGAAUAACAGUUGGAAACGACUGCUAAUACCGGAUGAUGACGUAAGUCCAAAGAUUUAUCGCCCAAGGAUGAGCCCGCGUAGGAUUAGCUAGUUGGUGAGGUAAAGGCUCACCAAGGCGACGAUCCUUAGCUGGUCUGAGAGGAUGAUCAGCCACACUGGGACUGAGACACGGCCCAGACUCCUACGGGAGGCAGCAGUGGGGAAUAUUGGACAAUGGGCGAGAGCCUGAUCCAGCAAGGCCGCGUGAGUGAUGAAGGCCUUAGGAUUGUAAAGCUCUUUUAACCGGGAUGAUAAUGACAGUACCGGGAGAAUAAGCACCGGCUAACUCCGUG
rnacentral:rRNA from 1 species